GGCAGCGUUCUAAGUGCUUUUACAAUGCAAACCGCUUUUGAUUUUCAUAGAAAUUCUACUAACUAGACAUUGUUAAUAGCUUCAUUCUACAGUGGAAAAUGAGGUAUGGAGGGCAGGUGACUCCUAGUAGCAUCCCUUCCGAGAGCUCAGCUACCUUUCUGUGUUCCAGCCAUCCCGCCGCACCGCCUCUCCCUCUGCGCAUGCGCACCCCCCCCCCCAGUUCGUCGUCCCUGGCCUCCAGUCCCUCGUGGGAAACAAUUGCCAGCCUCCGGGUCCCCGCGGCGAGGGAGCGGCGGGUGAGCCCGGAGGAGUUGAGCAAAGGCCUAGGGGGCCCGGGAGGCUUCGGGGACCGGAAGGAGGCGGCUGAUGCUAGGCGGAGAGGAGGAGUCCCGCGGACCCCGCGUAUUCUGAAGUCAUCGAAGGCUGUGUGCCGGUCGAAGGUCUGGGACAAGUUUAAGAAGAGAGCUUUCCCUCCUCCAAUAAGAGCGGAAAAUGAACAAAUCCCAGAAACAAAGUAGUGCUGGAGCAAAACCCAGUGCACAAAACCCAGUCUCUCUUUUCAGAAGACCAAACAUUGAGAGGUUUGACUAGACUGCUCUCUGAUGAUCCUGAUUAAUUCAAGAAUAAAACCUGAAAGGUACGGAGGAAUGGAGGGGAUACAUGUCCUCAAAACAGCAUUCCUUAAUGUGUUGGCUCGGUGUUUCUAUAUACAGUCACAGGUAGUUCUGGCUUAUGUCUUGCAUUUUAUAACCUGAUAAAUACAGC
rnacentral:lncRNA from 1 species